CCUCUUCUGCCCCGCUUGGAUGAAGAAUUCGGCUCGGCUGGAUGAAGACGACUCAAGAGAUAUGCUUUGGGUGAAAUGUUUCCUGUUAUCAAGAUUUAUAUAAAGAUUUGACUCUACUCUGUUCUGAAAUUAAAAGAAGAGACAU